rnacentral:lncRNA from 1 species
ACUGAAGGUAUAUUGAAGGACCCCAAGGCCCCAGGCCCAACAUUAGGAAAACUAACCCCUGUGCCCUGAAGCUGCAAGAUGUUCCCUUACCCAACCCCCAUGUCAAAACCCCACCAGCUGCACGUAGCACUUCAAGUCUCGCACAAUGUUACCACAAGAUGUUCCAUAUAGAUAACCCCAGAAGGGCCAAACUUGAGCAAACAGGGUAAAAACAGGAACUAAAAGGACAGGAUGCAAUUUUAUGUUUUUUCUGAGAACUAAAGUGGGAAAACAAGUUUACCCCCCUAGGUGACUCAACUGCUGAAUUCAGAGGGACCAAUAGGAAGGCUGUUGCUGUGCUAAGCUAAGACCUAACCCACCUGUUCCCUAUAAAAGAUCUAUACCCCAAAGCCCGGUGUGCCAGUUCACCGAAGCUCCGGCUGAGGUUUUGCUGUGCACCCGCAGGCGCCUGUGUGAGAAUAAACGCCUCCUGCUUUUUGCAGCCAGUGUCUCGUGUGGUUCAUUCCGGGUUUGGGAUCUGUGGAUAUUUCAUUGUGGAGGUUCCACCGAGAUCCAAGAUCCCGGUUCCGGUUCCGAUCCCGGUCCCUAUCCGGAGGACACCCGACAUCACUGGGAGGUAAGCUGGCCAGCUCAAACUGACUGUCUUGUUGUCCUGUUGGUUAUCUGUUCUUUGUUCCGCGCAGCGUCUGUAAGACUAUAUGAUCCUAGGCAUAGUCAUUUAGUAUUCUGAGUAUUCUGAGGCAGUUCUGUCAUUUAGUAUUCUGAGGCAGCUUGAGAAGGAGUUGACGAACUCGGACUUCUCCCCUGCCACCCUGGGAGACGUCCCAGGGAUCAGAAGUGUCCAUUUCUUUGGGGCCCCCGGUGUUUCCGAGGGUUACACCAUUUUUGUAGGCGACAAAGAAGUACAAACUUCUCCCAGGCCAUCUGAUUUGUUCGGUUUCCACCGAAGCCGCGCAGCGAUCUCACUGUUUGGUUUCGUUUUUGUGUCAUUGUGUCUGUCUCUCUAUUUCCUCUCUGAGAAUAACAUGGGACAAUCACUAACAACCCCUUUGAGCCUAACUCUAGAUCAUUGGCAAGACGUUCAAGAUCGGGCAGACAACCUGUCCGUGACAGUCAAAAAGAAAAAAUGGGUAACACUCUGUACCACGGAGUGGCCAAUAUUGGCCCACCCUCGAAGUUAAAUGGCCCCCAGGAGAGUCCCUCCAUCUCUCUCUCUAAUUUGCAAAGUCAGAGAUUGUCUUUCAGCCGGGGCCGCAUGGCCAUCCAGAUCAUGGCUUUUAACCUUUCAGGACCUCUGCGAAUCCCCUCCUGCAUGGGUGGGAUCCACGCAGUCCGCCGGGAGGAUUCCACCCGGCGGUAUGGCGGAUCUGUCCCGUCCCUGUUCCUCCCGGCCCCUCCACCCCAGGAAGCGAACGGGUCUUCCUGGAGUCCGGCUGCUUGGAAAUGCAGCCCAAGGCGGAUGAUAAAUUCUAUCUAAGGCUGAAUACUGAGACUAGGGAAGCAAUGUUUUCUUCCCCCCCCAUAACUGGCUUGAGUGCAAAUAGAGAUGCCUGCUGGGGAUUUAACAACUUUGACAUCUCGCUUUGACUUUUCUCAAAGCCCUGUCCUCAUUAUUAAAUUAAUGUUAAUUGGCUUUAGAGAUGGGAACCAAAUUUUCAGUCACAAAUUUUGACACUCUCAAGGGGACUUUUAAGGAGUUCCCACUCUGCUUUCUUGGGGAAGCCUAGCACUCGAAACAACUGCAAGCAGAGGAUGGACUUUUUGGGAGCUGGCUACUAACAAGUUAGAAAAAAAAAAAAAAUACCUAAACUAGAGGAACUGAUCCUGUGGGUGAAAGAUAGGAUUAAGGGACUCCCAGCAGCUGCCAGAGCCAUUUAGCUCUGGGGAGUUCCCUGGGUCCUUAUCUACAUCUUAAGGAUCUGUUUACUUAACCUCUGUUUACUUAAAAAAAAAGGGACACUGAAUGCAAUAAAGCCAGUCACACUGAGACCCUUGAUUUUACACCUAUAGUUGCCCCUACGUGAAAACAUCUGGUCCACUCAUAGGAAAGUCUAUGGUGCCACUGAUAAAAGUCAUAAUUAAAUGAAAGUUCAAAACCUGGAGAGAUAUUUUCUUAUCUGGUUGUCUGAUUGUUUCUUAGAGAUAAUCUAGGUUAAAUGUGUGUCUAAAAAAAAAUAAUAAUAAUAAUAAUAAUUUUUUAUUGUAACAAUCUGGUAUCUGAAUGGGUUUCUAAAGCAUUGCACUAUCUUGCAGUUAAAAGUUGGGUUUAAACAAUUGUUUAGUUUGAUUUCAGAUAGUUCAUGCUAGAAAACUUAAAUACUUGGGAUAAAAAAUUUUAAAAGUUUCAAUUUUGAACUGGGUAGCCUGAAGAAAAAAAAAUUAAAAAUAGAUCCAAAUAUCUUUAAUUCACGUGAUUCAAACGGUUCAAUUUAGAUUGGGUAAACAGAUAAAAGUAAAGAUGUCCUCAAAAUUAAGCUUAUAAGUUUCUCUAGGUGUUCAAAAAGGCCCUAAUAAAAUGUUAACUCUGCUUAAAUUUAAAAGUUUACAAGUAUUGUUUCAAAAUGUGAACAAAAAAAAAUUUAUGUAAUUAUGGUGUUAUUAAUGUGUUCAUAUCUUCCAGGUAUACAAGUCUGUAAGGUAAAAGCUUCAAAAGAACAUUAUAUCAAGCUGGUGUUCUAAAGUUGUAUGGUAAUUUUAGGCUUAAAAAAAAAAUGUUGAAAAUUCGAUUAUAUCAUUUGUGUUCUAUAACUGAACUUGUUAUCAAUAAGAUAUGUACAGUUCCAUGUUACUUUCUAC